CAGGGUUCUCACGGUGGAGGAAAGGACUUCUGCGGGAUACCACGCUGUGCGCCAAAAAGCCGGGCGGCUUCGGAGCCAGAGCAGCGGCUCUGCGGCGCAGGCGGCGGGUCGGGGCAGCCUUGAAGCCGGGAUCCGGCCCGAAGGGGUCUUUUUGGAGUUCCUGAGCUCAGUGCCCCAGAAGGCACAUACUUCAUAUGAAAUAUGAAGGAUUUCAUACUGCACAAGAAAAAGCCUUGAGAAAGACAGAAUUGCUUGUGGACCGUGCGUGUUCCACCCCACCUGGGCCCCAGACCGUGCUGAUCCUUGAUGAGCUCUCGGAUUCCUUGUGCAGAGUGACCGACUUGGUAAGAUGCUUUGCCUCAGACUUGAAGCUACCUCUCUUUCAACCUGU
rnacentral:lncRNA from 1 species